AUUGAACGCUGGCGGCAGGCCUAACACAUGCAAGUCGAGCGGGGGUUUUUCGGACCUAGCGGCGGACGGGUGAGUAAUGCGUAGGAAGCUGCCCGAUAGAGGGGGAUACCAGUUGGAAACGACUGUUAAUACCGCAUAAUGUCUACGGACCAAAGUGUGGGACCUUCGGGCCACAUGCUAUCGGAUGCGCCUACGUGGGA
rnacentral:rRNA from 1 species